rnacentral:rRNA from 1 species
GCACAAGCGGUGGAGCAUGUGGUUUAAUUCGACGCAACGCGCAGAACCUUACCAGGGUUUGACAUCCUGCGACCGCCCUCUAAUAGGGGUUUUCCCGCAAGGGACGCAGAGACAGGUGCUGCAUGGCUGUCGUCAGCUCGUGUCGUGAGAUGUUGGGUUAAGUCCCGCAACGAGCGCAACCCUCGCCUUUAGUUGCCAUCAUUCAGUUGGGCACUCUAGAGGGACCGCCGGCGACAAGCCGGAGGAAGGUGGGGAUGACGUCAAGUCCUCAUGGCCCUUACGACCAGGGCUACACACGUACUACAAUGGGAGAUACAGAGGGUUGCGAAGCCGCGAGGUGAAGCCAAUCCCAGAAAAUCUCUCUCAGUCCGGAUCGGAGUCUGCAACUCGACUCCGUGAAGUCGGAAUCGCUAGUAAUCGCGAAUCAGCAUUGUCGCGGUGAAUACGUUCCCGGGC